GGCCCCAUGGAGUGCUACUACAUUGUCAUCAGCUCCGCGCACCUCAGCAACGGGCACUUUCGCAACAUCAAGGGAGUUUUCCGAGGCCCCCUCAGCAAGAACGGGAACAAAACUCUGGAUUAUGCUGAAAAGAAAAACACGAUAGCAAAAGCUCUGGAAGAUCUUAAAGCCAACUUCUACUGUGAACUCUGCGACAAGCAGUACUAUAAACACCAGGAGUUUGACAAUCACAUUAACUCUUAUGAUCAUGCUCACAAACAGAGACUGAAGGAACUGAAACAGAGGGAGUUUGCUCGAAAUGUAGCAUCUAAGUCACGAAAAGAUGAAAGGAAGCAGGAAAAAGCCCUUCAACGUUUGCACAAGCUAGCUGAGCUAAGGAAAGAGACAACGUGUGCUCCUGGAAGCGGCCCUAUGUUCAAAUCCACUACAGUGACUGUGCGAGAUCACUGCAAUGAUAUCCCACAAAGUGCUGCCAUAGAAUCUGCCAACAAACAGGAUUUCAGCUGUACGUUAAUGCACGAAGCACAGAAUUGUAAAGAUGUCGCUUCUGUUAUUUCUUCCACUCCUGGAAAUGCAUGUGGUAAUAAAUCCGACGCUAACAAAUGUGGAGAUCAGGUUCAAGGAGCUCAAGGACAUAGAGUUGGGUUCUCUUUUGCUUUUCCUAAGAAAGCAGCAGUCAAACUGGAGUCUUCAGCUGCUGUUUUCUAUGAAUAUAAUGACGAAACGUCUAUGGAGCACGGAUUUAGCAGAAGAAGUAGGUUUGUUCCAGGAGUUUGUAAUCUUCAGUCUCCCUCAGCGGCAGAAAUAGUCCUGUGCCCGGAGGAGAAACAUAACUGUUUUCACCCACCGGUGGAAAAAUGCACUGACCCGGCAGAAGCUCCUGAAGCUCAGGAGCUGGCCAGUGAAGAAAGCAGGGUGCUAGAGAGUCCCGUAAUAAAUCCUGCUGUGUCUCAUUCAGAGCAACUGGUGUCCUCGGACAUGGAUGGCUACCGUAUUGAUGUAAGAGCAGCAGACUUACUGGACCAAACGCUGCCCACGGUUACGGACAGCGUUCAGGUCCUGCCCCUGGACCGCAGUGGUUACGAGCUGCAGGGAAACAGGGCUCUCGUGCAGGCGGUUGUGGAUGAUUGUUUAUCUCUGCAGGACGUUGCGGAGGAAAAGGAUAAAGACAGGAACAGUGACUCAUCCACAACUGAAACUGAAAUAAAAAAGCUGGGGGCGGAUGCGUCAGUUCCAUCACCUUCUGAAGAAGGUAGCAGUGGAGCCCCACAAAGCAAACCAGACACACGCAAGAGGCCUAGUGAACCAUUUGUUCCUGUUCUUAGCAAAUACGGAUCAAAUAUUCUUCAGUGGCCAUCUGAAAUGUUAAUUUAUACAAGUACAGACCCAUCGAUUUCUUAUAGCUGUAAUCCUUUAUAUUUUGAUUUCAAGUCAUCGAGAACAAAUGACAGCCAAGAAAAGCCCAAGCAUCAGCCAAACAUACCUCAUUUGCACCAUAAAACUGAAUCCAACCAUAGCUUAGUCUCGGAUUUUACAAAUAAACCUACUUCAGAGUGUGGGUAUUAUGAAACAGAAAUGAAUAAAAAUGUGUGCAACUAUACUAUACCCCUUAUGAGUGAUGUUUCCCUCAUCAGAAAUUGUGACCUUGCAAAAAAUCCAAAUAAAGUGUCCUUGGAUGAGUCAUUCAGGAUUAGAAAAAUAGACAAGUAUCACAUUUCUAAAAAUCACUUACGACAAAACACUGUGAUAGAUGAGAAAUAUAACAAAGUUUGGAUCAAAGCAAGCCAUGAAAAAUGGCUUCACAAAAGUAGAAAAUGGAAAAGGAGAAGAAAAUUAUGUCAUUGUCAUCAUCAUCACUGUGGGGGCGCAACAACGGCAGAAAUGGAGAUGUCCUUAGGGACUGAAAAGGAAAUUAGUUACAGAGAUGAAAAUAAAUAUCAGCACCUCCAAAAUAAUCCAGAGAAGUGCAGACAUGAUGCAGGAAACAUCUGGCUAGCUACAGGUGAGAUACAGCAGUCACAUCAAAAACUUGGCACUGAAAAUGGUCAUAAAAGAGUCAUGUCUGUGUCAGGUCAUGUACAUGGGGAUAGAGGCUGGUGUGAUGUUUGGAGUGCAAAAAAUAGCUGCCAACACUGUGGUUGUAAACGACUGCACAGAAAGAGCAAAGCAAGCUCUCGGAGACAGGCAAAGCAGCUGGCUCCGAGUUCUAGGAGGCACAGCUUAAGGUAUUCUAAAACAUGUUGUGGUUGGAAAGUCAGGAGGUCAAGCUGUAGCCCAGAGCAUAAAUGUUUAGGACACUGCAGUGAGGAGAAGAGUCCGAGUCAAAACCAGUCCAUAAAGAGAGGUUACAACGUUCUGACAGAGGAACCUGAAAAAUCCCACCACAAGCGUAGACAGCUUACCUGUUCCUCUUCAUCAGAUGAAAGCUCAUACGGACAGACAUCAGCAGAGGAAUAUCUAAGGCAAGCGCGUACUUUAGGUACACAUCACAAGGCAAAAGGGAAACGCAGGAGGAGGAAAAACAGAAUCCGUCACGUAUUCCUUGACAAGAACAUGAGAAGUGAGACCUCCAGACCUUCCAAAGAAAAUUCUGCAAAUUGUACAUUAAAUAUUUUGGGGGACUUCUUGACUCAAGACAGUCUAGAGGAAACUAAUGUGGAUCCCACCGCUGAUCAUGCAAAAGAUAUCGAUGAAACAAUGCAGCUGGAGGAAAGCAAGUCAUCUCUAGAAACUGAUAGUUCACACAUGCUGGAAAAUGACAAACUGACGGCGUGCGCAGCGGUGGAGAGCACUCCGAGUACAUUUUCUGACGUCGUCGCAGGUUCUGCUGCUUGUGUUCCUGAGCACAGUGCUCCAGUGGCUGCCGGCACACAGGAUGUUCUGCAAGAUGAAAAGAAAAAAGAAAAUGUCAACCGUUGUGAAAAUCAAGCUCGUUACAAAGUUCCCCUCCCCAACAGACCUUUGGAACAAGCUCCUCCUAAAUCCUAUCUUUGCCAUUAUGAAUUGGCCGAGUCUCUACCGCAUGAGAAAAUAAAUGAGGUGACCAGCGAGUGGGUACAGUGUAAUCCUGGCAUAUUUAGCAGCCCACCACCCUUGCCAUUCAAAGAAGCACAUGUAAACAGUCAUACCUUUUUAACUACGGAGCAGUUGAUAGCCCCCUUCACCCUUCCCGAUCAGACAUUGAUAUUCCCUCCAGACAACCACGAAAAAUUCAAAGAUCUCCCAUCCGAGGCGUAUCAGCAGAUCGUGCCACAAAACAUGCUGGCCAACAAAGUGAAGUUCACCUUCCCUGCCCCAGCGAUCCAGCCCCCAAAUUCCCCACUGCAACCCUUACCCUUGCAGCCGCCGCUAUGUUCUACCUCCGUUACCACCAUCCACCACACCAUCCUACAGCAGCACGCUGCCGCCAGUACAUUGAAGGUUCUCCAGCCCCACCAGCAGUUCCUCUCGCAGGUCCCAGCUCUUUCCAGAGCGCCUUUACCUCAUCUACCAGUAGGACCGAGGCUUUGCCCCGGGGGCCACGCAGCUUUCAUCACCCCGCCACAUUUGCCGCUGCUGCCGCCCUCCGUCCUGCACCCGACCCAGUUGGCGUUUCCCCCGCUGCCGCACACCGUCUUCCCCUCUCUGCUGUCCCCACACCCGGCUGUCAUUCCCCUGCAGCCCCUCUUUUAGGACAGGUUCUCGAGGACGGGGGAAGGAGCCUUCAGCUCAAUGGUCCUGCUGUUUCUACAGACCCCUCAGCUUUGCAAAACGGCUCUGUGAAAUAAACUGGUUAAAAUUCCUCGUUCCUUGGGAAGCAUUUACUAGAAUUCUCCCUACCUCUGCAACCUUUUUAUUGCUGUCGAACCUUUAGCCCAGGAAAUCUUCCCAUCUGCUGUCGUAUGAGAUAUAUCAGACCCACACCUGCGAUGGUCUAGAAUAAAACCAGAAGUGGUUCUGAGAUAGGGCCAUCUCUUUGAGUUAAAAUGAAGUGUUAUCAUGUGAGUGAAGCUAAGGAUUUGCAGCAUGGCCAUUAGUGCUAGAAGUAGGCCCUCCAUAAUUAAAGGUAGGUGCUAGCUCUCCAAUUAAUCACUUCUUUUCACCUUUUUAUAUAGUAUAAUAAAAGUAUAUACAGUUGAACUGAAAGAAUAGUAAUUUUUGAAUAUUAUUAACAUACAUUGCAUAUUAAUAAAGACAUUAUCCAUUUGAAAGAUAACACUAUAUCCUAAAACAUAUAUAUCCGGGUAUUAUUUUCUGCAUCUAUAGCGUUAGAACUUACUUAUACCAAUAUUGCAAGUUUUACUAUAAUAUCACAUUAAAACUAUAACAAACAGCAUUUUACCACUAUGAUUACAGUGUCAGGUACUCCAGGGAUGUGAGUUUUUCGUGUCGUGCAGUUACAAAGGGCUAAACUACGUUAAUAAGCAAAAAGUUAAUAAGAAGGAGCAGGUGAGCGGUCAGGUUCUGGAGAGCGGCUGGGAUCCCCUGCCUGAGGCUGUGGCAUGGGGUGGGAUGUUGCUGAGCAUCUGUCCCUGCAAUGCCAUAAAGAAGGUAUAUUUUCUCUAAGUUCAGGUGAAUGCCCAUUUCUAUUUAUCUGGUACCUGAAAAAUAUAGCAAAGUGACCUUCUACUCCUCCCUUAUUUCAAGAGUAUGCCUACAUAAUCUCUAUGUCUCCGCUAACUCCUGUACAAUGCAGGUGCCCAGCAGGCUCUAAGCACGGGAAUUUCUGUCUGAAGGUGGAUGGUGCAUGCUAGCUGCUUCGUCUCCCAUCUUAGCUGACUUGCGUUGGCUUUUGUAUUUCUGCCCUCCUCUGUGGUAGUCAACACAGAUGGUCCCCUGGGUUCUGAUGUCUUAUCAAAGACAAAAUACAUCUAAUUAUCUAACAGUACACUUGAAAAUAAGAAUCUGCGCAGGACAAUUAUGAUUGCAUGGUAUCAUAUAAAUACAUUUUUAUCUGGCAGGAGAUUAAAAAUUACCAAUCUCAGAUUUUCAAUUGCAACGUUCAUUGAAAAAUCCCAUCUAUUAACUUAGAAGGCCACAUUUUUUCAACAAAAUGUCCAAACAGCUUUGAACAUUACUUUUUUCUUACAAUUUAAAUAACUUUUUUUUUACGUUUUAAGUUGUUGAACAGUUUUAAGACAUUGCACAAUUAUUUAUUAUCUACUGUAAUUGCUUUUCAAUAGUGUAUAAACUACUUACAAUAAAAGACUAGUAACAAUCAAAUGUAAGAAUUUUCUAAUAUGGUAUUGCCUUUAGUGCUAGAACUGUUUGUAUAU